GAGGGAGGCUUGACAGCAACAAUGACUGCUAAUCCUUGACCCCCUCGGUUAAAUUCCGGGGCUCUCUCA
rnacentral:tRNA from 1 species